CAUGUUCAAGCCACACUAAACGUUGAGUUGGCCGGUGUGCUGACAAACGAACAGGCGUUUUAAGGAUACGUUCGUUGGGUAGGGGAGCGUUCUGUAAGCCGUUGAAGGUGGCCUGUGAGGGUUGCUGGAGGUAUCAGAAGUGCGAAUGCUGACAUAAGUAACGAUAAUGCGGGAGAAAAACCCGCACGCCGGAAGACCAAGGGUUCCUGUCCAACGUUAAUCGGGGCAGGGUGAGUCGACCCCUAAGGCGAGGCUGAAAAGCGUAGUCGAUGGGAAACAGGUUAAUAUUCCUGUACUUGGUGUUACUGCGAAGGGGGGACGGAGAAGGCUAGGCUAGCCGGGCGACGGUUGUCCCGGUUUAAGCAUGUAGGCGGAGUGACCAGGUAAAUCCGGUUGCUUAUCAACGCUGAGGUGUGAUGACGAUGCACUACGGUGCAGAAGUAGUUGAUGCCAUGCUUCCAGGAAAAGCCUCUAAGCAUCAGGUAACAUGAAAUCGUACCCCAAACCGACACAGGUGGUCAGGUAGAGAAUACUCAGGCGCUUGAGAGAACUCGGGUGAAGGAACUAGGCAAAAUGGUGCCGUAACUUCGGGAGAAGGCACGCUGGCAUUAGGUAAAGGGACUUGCUCCCGGCGCCGAAGCCAGUCGCAGAUACCAGCUGGCUGCAACUGUUUAAUAAAAACACAGCACUGUGCAAACACGAAAGUGGACGUAUACGGUGUGACGCCUGCCCGGUGCUGGAAGGUUAAUUGAUGGGGUCAGCCGCAAGGCGAAGCUCUUGAUCGAAGCCCCAGUAAACGGCGGCCGUAACUAUAACGGUCCUAAGGUAGCGAAAUUCCUUGUCGGGUAAGUUCCGACCUGCACGAAUGGCGUAAUGAUGGCCAGGCUGUCUCCACCCGAGACUCAGUGAAAUUGAACUCGCUGUGAAGAUGCAGUGUACCCGCGGCAAGACGGAAAGACCCCGUGAACCUUUACUAUAGCUUGACACUGAACAUUGAGCCUUGAUGUGUAGGAUAGGUGGGAGGCAUAGAAGUGUGGACGCCAGUCUGCAUGGAGCCAACCUUGAAAUACCACCCUUUAAUGUUUGAUGUUCUAACUCGGCCCCGUAAUCCGGGGUGAGGACAGUGUCUGGUGGGUAGUUUGACUGGGGCGGUCUCCUCCCAAAGAGUAACGGAGGAGCACGAAGGUUAGCUAAUCACGGUCGGACAUCGUGAGGUUAGUGCAAAGGCAUAAGCUAGCUUGACUGCGAGAGUGACGGCUCGAGCAGGUACGAAAGUAGGUCUUAGUGAUCCGGUGGUUCUGAAUGGAAGGGCCAUCGCUCAACGGAUAAAAGGUACUCCGGGGAUAACAGGCUGAUACCGCCCAAGAGUUCAUAUCGACGGCGGUGUUUGGCACCUCGAUGUCGGCUCAUCACAUCCUGGGGCUGAAGUAGGUCCCAAGGGUAUGGCUGUUCGCCAUUUAAAGUGGUACGCGAGCUGGGUUUAGAACGUCGUGAGACAGUUCGGUCCCUAUCUGCCGUGGGCGUUGGAAGAUUGAGAGGGGCUGCUCCUAGUACGAGAGGACCGGAGUGGACGAAUCACUGGUGUUCGGGUUGUCAUGCCAAUGGCAUUGCCCGGUAGCUAAAUUCGGAAGAGAUAACCGCUGAAAGCAUCUAAGCGGGAAACUUGCCUCGAGAUGAGUCUUCCCUGGGGCUUUAAGCCCCCUGAAGGAACGUUAAAGACGAUGACGUUGAUAGGCUGGGUGUGUAAGUGCAGCGAUGCAUUGAGCUAACCAGUACUAAUGAACCGUGAGGCUUAACCUU
rnacentral:rRNA from 1 species